CCUACGGGAUGCACCAGUGGGGAAUAUUGCACAAUGGGCGCAAGCCUGAUGCAGCCAUGCCGCGUGUAUGAAGAAGGCCUUCGGGUUGUAAAGUACUUUCAGCGGGGAGGAAGGCGAUAGGGUUAAUAGCCUUGUCGAUUGACGUUACCCGCAGAAGAAGCACCGGCUAACUCCGUGCCAGCAGCCGCGGUAAUACGGAGGGUGCAAGCGUUAAUCGGAAUUACUGGGCGUAAAGCGCACGCAGGCGGUCUGUCAAGUCGGAUGUGAAAUCCCCGGGCUCAACCUGGGAACUGCAUUUGAAACUGGCAGGCUAGAGUCUUGUAGAGGGGGGUAGAAUUUCAGGUGUAGCGGUGAAAUGCGUAGAGAUCUGAAGGAAUACCAGUGGCGAAGGCGGCCCCCUGGACAAAGACUGACGCUCAGAUGCGAAAGCGUGGGGAGCAAACAGGAUUAGAUACCCCCGUAGUC
rnacentral:rRNA from 1 species